UGGGGAAUCUUGCGCAAUGGGCGAAAGCCUGACGCAGCGACGCCGCGUGUGGGAUGACGGCCUUCGGGUUGUAAACCACUGUCGGGAGGGACGAAGCUCUGACGGUACCUCCAAAGGAAGCACCGGCUAACUCUGUGCCAGCAGCCGCGGUAAUACAGAGGGUGCGAGCGUUGUCCGGAAUCACUGGGCGUAAAGGGCGCGUAGGCGGCCGGAUAAGUCGGGGGUGAAAUCCUGUGGCUCAACCACAGGGCUGCCUCCGAGACUGUCGGGCUCGAGCACAGUAGAGGCAGGUGGAAUUCCCGGUGUAGCGGUGGAAUGCGUAGAGAUCGGGAAGAACAUCGGUGGCGAAGGCGGCCUGCUGGGCUGUUGCUGACGCUGAGGCGCGACAGCGUGGGGAGCAAACAGGAUUAGAUACCCUGGUAGGUCCACGCCGUAAACGAUAGGGCACUAGGCGUCGGGGGAGC
rnacentral:rRNA from 1 species